ACAGGCAGGGAGGCAGCAGGGAAGCAGGUGGUCAGACACACUCUUUCCCGCCUGGGUCUGCCUGAUUUCUCUCUACCUGUGCACCUGCGUUCCCUGCUUCUCCAGGUCUCCCUGACCUCCCGUUCUCAGAUGUGAGCCCGGAGUCCCCAGCCCUGUCACAAGGGGACAUGCAAAGUCACAUUCCCCGUUGCGGUUCCAGAUUCCUAAAAAGGGUCUCUGAUGGGCACAGGUGUGCUCAGGACUCCCUCUGGGCCAUGCCCCUGACCCCCAACAAUCUGGACGUGUACUGCUCGCUGACAGAUGUUUGAUGAUAUUUCUGCUCAGCUCGCCAGUCACCACUUGGGACAACACCUGUGCCUGUCCUAAGCCAUGCGACCCCGAGUAUUUGGAAUCUUAUGUAGAUGAUUAGAAUGACCUGUAAAGGAGAAGACAGAUUCUCUUCUUCUUUCCCUCCUUGUCCGCCCAGUGUCUCUGGGGAUACUGAGGCAGUGUCUGGGGUGGGAUAUGGACAAGCAGAUUCAGCACGCUUUCCUGGGGUCCCUGUGAUACCUUAGACUGUCCUGUAAGCCUCGGGCUGUGUUGCAGUUGGAAUGGCCGAUGCAUUGGUCUUAGAGCAGACCCUGUACUUCGUGGCCCGAUUGCUGAAAAGCCGGCAGCUCAGCAGGUUCCUCGGAGCUGCCAGAACCGAGUCCAAGUCCUUUAUGGACAGCACUGAUGCUCUUGGGAGCGCUGAUGGUUUGUCCUCUCUCUCCUCGGCCUCCCUUGUACAAGCCCUGGGAGCCUAAAUGCCACGCGGGACCUGGCACUGACUCCCGGUUGCAAGGACCGUAUCCCCCCUGCCCCCGCCCGGGGUCACAGGUGCCUCUCAGUGUCUGCAGCCUGAGGACUUGGAGCCCUCUGAAUUAUGAGAGAGGAGGGUGACCUCUCUCUGGCUCCUUUCACAUUGUUUAAAGUUGGGAUGUGUGGACGAGCGUCUGUGGCUGUGGGUCUGCUCCCCACAAACCCUCCUGUCACCACUGACCUUGAGAAAUAGAAGAUCCUCCCCCCUCCCCCCUUUCCCUCCCCCUCCCCCUCCUUCUCCCCCUUCCUCCUUCCCU